rnacentral:rRNA from 1 species
GAUGAACGCUGGCGGCGUGCCUAAUACAUGCAAGUCGAGCGAACAGACGAGGAGCUUGCUCCUCUGACGUUAGCGGCGGACGGGUGAGUAACACGUGGAUAACCUACCUAUAAGACUGGGAUAACUUCGGGAAACCGGAGCUAAUACCGGAUAACAUGUUGAACCGCAUGGUUCAACAGUGAAAGACGGUCUUGCUGUCACUUAUAGAUGGAUCCGCGCCGCAUUAGCUAGUUGGUAAGGUAACGGCUUACCAAGGCAACGAUGCGUAGCCGACCUGAGAGGGUGAUCGGCCACCCGGGAACUGAGACACGGUCCAGACUCCUACGGGAGGCAGCAGUAGGGAAUCUUCCGCAAGGGGCGAAAGCCUGACGGAGCAACGCCGCGUGAGUGAAGAAGGCCUUCGGAUCGUAAAACUCUGUUAUUAGGGAAGAACAAAUGUGUAAGUAACUAUGCACGUCUUGACGGUACCUAAUCAGAAAGCCACGGCUAACUACGU